rnacentral:rRNA from 1 species
AUUGAACGCUGGCGGCAAGCCUAACACAUGCAAGUAGAACGAGUGGCGGACGGGUGAGUCAUGUCUGGGAAACUGACUGCUGGAGGGGGAUAACUACUGGAAACGGUAGCUAAUACCGCAUACCAUCGGAUGUACCCAGGUGGGAUUAGCUAGUAGGGGGGGUAAAGGCUGACCGAGGCGACGAUCCCUAGCUGGUCUGAGAGGAUGACCAGCCACCUUGGAACUGAGACACGGUCCAGACUCCUACGGAGGGCAGCAGGGGGGAAUAUUGCACAAGUGGCGCAAGCCUGAUGCAGCCAUGCCGCGUGUAUGAAGAAGGCCUUCGGGUUGUAAAGUACUUUCAGCGGGGAGGCGUUACCCGCAGAAGAAGCACCGGCUAACUCCGUGCCAGCAGCCGCGGUAAUUC